GGGUCCUGACUCAAGAACCACUUCCUGAGUCUUGGUGUGUGUACACAAAAAAAGGAAAGAAACUUCAAGAGCAAAAGGAAGAAGAUCUGGGCUGUGCUGAGAACCAGUUUCCAGGAUCACAACCUUCCAGCAAGACACACCAAGCCCAUUCUGGACCUUGCUCCCUAGUUAUCACAGCAGGCAGGCUGUGGAGGAGGAGGAAGGUACUGAAGAAAGGAGUAUUCAGCGGUUUCUUUAUUGUGCUGCCUCUAAAUGCCAGGCAUGUGCUGGGGGAAGGGACGGCCAGCAAGGCAGAGGGAAAACAAUGGCCCUGCCCUCUGCCAGGAGGCAAAACCAAGCCUACACUGUGAACAGAAGCAGAAACCUCUGGUGGCAGCUGGAUGACCUCAGAGAGAGGGACAGGUGGUGCCUCAGCCCAGGAAGGAAAAAGAAAAAGAAAGGAUUUCACAGAGAGAUUGGAGAUUGGAUUCCCUCCGAACAUUCCUGCCUCCAGCUCUCCUCUGCUUCCCGCCAGCUCUCCUCAUCUGGCAGCCCAGGUCAUUCUUUGUCACCUCUGGGGUCAGCACAUCUGCCAGUAUUUUGAAAUCCCUGGAGAAGUAAACAUUGCGCUCAGAACCCUCCUUUUCUUGACCAACAGAUGGAAUAGUGGAAUAGUGGUGCCUCCUGCUGGCAUAGCUGGGCAAUGGGGCCAUUUUUUGGCCACUACCCCCAGCAGCACCCCAGCAGGGACCUGGAGUGGGAGCAGUAGGUGACAAAAACAGGCAGAGCUGGGAGGCCUAGGGAGACUGGAGAGUGAAAGUAGAAAAGAGAGGAAGGGCUGGGCCUGCCCUAAGAGGAUAAGGGGAAAGUGAUGAGGGCAGGGCGGUGCGUCUUCCAGUAGGCCAGAGGCAAAUAAAGUGACAACAAAGGA